rnacentral:rRNA from 1 species
AUUGACCGCUGGCGGCAGGCUUAACACAUGCAAGUCGAGCGGGGUGAUGGUGCUUGCACUAUCACUUAGCGGCGGACGGGUGAGUAAUGCUUAGGAAUCUGCCUAUUAGUGGGGGACAACAUCUAGAAAGGGAUGUUAAUAACGCAUACGUCCUACGGGAGAAAGCAGGGGAUCACUUGUGACCUUGCGCUAAUAGAUGAGCCUAAGUCGGAUUAUCUAGUUGGUGGGGUAAAGGCCUACCAAGGCGACGAUCUGUAGCGGGUCUGAGAGGAUGAUCCGCCACACUGGGACUGAGACACGGCCCAGACUCCUACGGGAGGCAGCAGUGGGGAAUAUUGGACAAUGGGGGGAACCCUGGUCCAGCCAUGCCGCGUGUGUGAAGAAGGCCUUAUGGUUGUAAAGCACUUUAAGCGAGGAGGAGGCUCUUUUGGUUAAUACCCAAGAUGAGUGGACGUUACUCGCAGAAUAAGCACCGGCUAACUCUGUGCCAGCCGCCGCGGUAA